rnacentral:rRNA from 1 species
GUACACAAAAAUGCACAUAUUGUGAGCUCGAUGAGUAGGGCGGGACACGUGGUAUCCUGUCUGAAUAUGGGGGGACCAUCCUCCAAGGCUAAAUACUCCUGACUGACCGAUAGUGAACCAGUACCGUGAGGGAAAGGCGAAAAGAACCCCGGCGAGGGGAGUGAAAAAGAACCUGAAACCGUGUACGUACAAGCAGUGGGAGCCUCUUUAUGGGGUGACUGCGUACCUUUUGUAUAAUGGGUCAGCGACUUAUAUUCUGUAGCAAGGUUAACCGAAUAGGGGAGCCGAAGGGAAACCGAGUCUUAACUGGGCGUUAAGUUGCAGGGUAUAGACCCGAAACCCGGUGAUCUAGCCAUGGGCAGGUUGAAGGUUGGGUAACACUAACUGGAGGACCGAACCGACUAAUGUUGAAAAAUUAGCGGAUGACUUGUGGCUGGGGGUGAAAGGCCAAUCAAACCGGGAGAUAGCUGGUUCUCCCCGAAAGCUAUUUAGGUAGCGCCUCGUGAAUUCAUCUCCGGGGGUAGAGCACUGUUUCGGCAAGGGGGUCAUCCCGACUUACCAACCCGAUGCAAACUGCGAAUACCGGAGAAUGUUAUCACGGGAGACACACGGCGGGUGCUAACGUCCGUCGUGAAGAGGGAAACAACCCAGACCGCCAGCUAAGGUCCCAAAGUCAUGGUUAAGUGGGAAACGAUGUGGGAAGGCCCAGACAGCCAGGAUGUUGGCUUAGAAGCAGCCAUCAUUUAAAGAAAGCGUAAUAGCUCACUGGUCGAGUCGGCCUGCGCGGAAGAUGUAACGGGGCUAAACCAUGCACCGAAGCUGCGGCAGCGACACUAUGUGUUGUUGGGUAGGGGAGCGUUCUGUAAGCCUGUGAAGGUGGCCUGUGAGGGUUGCUGGAGGUAUCAGAAGUGCGAAUGCUGACAUAAGUAACGAUAAAGCGGGUGAAAAGCCCGCUCGCCGGAAGACCAAGGGUUCCUGUCCAACGUUAAUCGGGGCAGGGUGAGUCGACCCCUAAGGCGAGGCCGAAAGGCGUAGUCGAUGGGAAACAGGUUAAUAUUCCUGUACUUGGUGUUACUGCGAAGGGGGGACGGAGAAGGCUAUGUUGGCCGGGCGACGGUUGUCCCGGUUUAAGCGUGUAGGCUGGUUUUCCAGGCAAAUCCGGAAAACCAAGGCUGAGGCGUGAUGACGAGGCACUACGGUGCUGAAGCGACAAAUGCCCUGCUUCCAGGAAAAGCCUCUAAGCAUCAGGUAACAUCAAAUCGUACCCCAAACCGACACAGGUGGUCAGGUAGAGAAUACCAAGGCGCUUGAGAGAACUCGGGUGAAGGAACUAGGCAAAAUGGUGCCGUAACUUCGGGAGAAGGCACGCUGAUAUGUAGGUGAAGCGACUUGCUCGUGGAGCUGAAAUCAGUCGAAGAUACCAGCUGGCUGCAACUGUUUAUUAAAAACACAGCACUGUGCAAACACGAAAGUGGACGUAUACGGUGUGACGCCUGCCCGGUGCCGGAAGGUUAAUUGAUGGGGUUAGCGGUAACGCGAAGCUCUUGAUCGAAGCCCCGGUAAACGGCGGCCGUAACUAUAACGGUCCUAAGGUAGCGAAAUUCCUUGUCGGGUAAGUUCCGACCUGCACGAAUGGCGUAAUGAUGGCCAGGCUGUCUCCACCCGAGACUCAGUGAAAUUGAACUCGCUGUGAAGAUGCAGUGUACCCGCGGCAAGACGGAAAGACCCCGUGAACCUUUACUAUAGCUUGACACUGAACAUUGAGCCUUGAUGUGUAGGAUAGGUGGGAGGCUUUGAAGUGUGGACGCCAGUCUGCAUGGAGCCGACCUUGAAAUACCACCCUUUAAUGUUUGAUGUUCUAACGUUGGCCCGUAAUCCGGGUUGCGGACAGUGUCUGGUGGGUAGUUUGACUGGGGCGGUCUCCUCCUAAAGAGUAACGGAGGAGCACGAAGGUUGGCUAAUCCUGGUCGGACAUCAGGAGGUUAGUGCAAUGGCAUAAGCCAGCUUGACUGCGAGCGUGACGGCGCGAGCAGGUGCGAAAGCAGGUCAUAGUGAUCCGGUGGUUCUGAAUGGAAGGGCCAUCGCUCAACGGAUAAAAGGUACUCCGGGGAUAACAGGCUGAUACCGCCCAAGAGUUCAUAUCGACGGCGGUGUUUGGCACCUCGAUGUCGGCUCAUCACAUCCUGGGGCUGAAGUAGGUCCCAAGGGUAUGGCUGUUCGCCAUUUAAAGUGGUACGCGAGCUGGGUUUAGAACGUCGUGAGACAGUUCGGUCCCUAUCUGCCGUGGGCGCUGGAGAACUGAGGGGGGCUGCUCCUAGUACGAGAGGACCGGAGUGGACGCAUCACUGGUGUUCGGGUUGUCAUGCCAAUGGCACUGCCCGGUAGCUAAAUGCGGAAGAGAUAAGUGCUGAAAGCAUCUAAGCACGAAACUUGCCCCGAGAUGAGUUCUCCCUGACUCCUUGA